rnacentral:rRNA from 1 species
GGGGGACGGAGCUACACAUGCAGUCGAACGGUAACAGGAAACAGCUUGCUGUUUCGCUGACGAGUGGCGGACGGGUGAGUAAUGUCUGGGAAACUGCCUGAUGGAGGGGGAUAACUACUGGAAACGGUAGCUAAUACCGCAUAAUGUCGCAAGACCAAAGAGGGGGACCUUCGGGCCUCUUGCCAUCGGAUGUGCCCAGAUGGGAUUAGCUAGUAGGUGGGGUAACGGCUCACCUAGGCGACGAUCCCUAGCUGGUCUGAGAGGAUGACCAGCCACACUGGAACUGAGACACGGUCCAGACUCCUACGGGAGGCAGCAGUGGGGAAUAUUGCACAAUGGGCGCAAGCCUGAUGCAGCCAUGCCGCGUGUAUGAAGAAGGCCUUCGGGUUGUAAAGUACUUUCAGCGGGGAGGAAGGGAGUAAAGUUAAUACCUUUGCUCAUUGACGUUACCCGCAGAAGAAGCACCGGCUAACUCCGUGCCAGCAGCCGCGGUAAUACGGAGGGUGCAAGCGUUAAUCGGAAUUACUGGGCGUAAAGCGCACGCAGGCGGUUUGUUAAGUCAGAUGUGAAAUCCCCGGGCUCAACCUGGGAACUGCAUCUGAUACUGGCAAGCUUGAGUCUCGUAGAGGGGGGUAGAAUUCCAGGUGUAGCGGUGAAAUGCGUAGAGAUCUGGAGGAAUACCGGUGGCGAAGGCGGCCCCCUGGACGAAGACUGACGCUCAGGUGCGAAAGCGUGGGGAGCAAACAGGAUUAGAUACCCUGGUAGUCCACGCCGUAAACGAUGUCGACUUGGAGGUUGUGCCCUUGAGGCGUGGCUUCCGGAGCUAACGCGUUAAGUCGACCGCCUGGGGAGUACGGCCGCAAGGUUAAAACUCAAAUGAAUUGACGGGGGCCCGCACAAGCGGUGGAGCAUGUGGUUUAAUUCGAUGCAACGCGAAGAACCUUACCUGGUCUUGACAUCCACAGAACUUUCCAGAGAUGGAUUGGUGCCUUCGGGAACUGUGAGACAGGUGCUGCAUGGCUGUCGUCAGCUCGUGUUGUGAAAUGUUGGGUUAAGUCCCGCAACGAGCGCAACCCUUAUCCUUUGUUGCCAGCGGUCCGGCCGGGAACUCAAAGGAAACUGCCAGUGAUAACUGGAGAAAGGGGGGGGAUAAACGUCAAGUCUUCUGGGCCCUUACGAACAGGGGUACACCGUGGCUAAAAGGGGCAAAAAAAAAAAACGACCUCCCCAAAAAAGGGGACCU